UAAUACGGAGGGUGCAAGCGUUAUUCGGAUUUACUGGGCGUAAAGGGCGCGUAGGCGGUCUUAUAAGUCAGAUGUGAAAGCCCGGGGCUCAACCCCGGAAGUGCAUCUGAAACUAUGGGACUUGAGUAUGGGAGAGGGAAGUGGAAUUCCUGGUGUAGCGGUGAAAUGCGUAGAUAUCAGGAGGAACACCGGUGGCGAAGGCGACUUCCUGGACCAAUACUGACGCUGAGGCGCGAAGGCGUGGGGAGCAAACAGGAUUAGAUACCCUGGUAGUCCACGCAGUAAACGGUGAGCACUAGGUGUAGCGGGUAUUGACCCCUGCUGUGCCGCAGCUAACGCAUUAAGUGUUCCGCCUGGGUAGUACGGUCGCAAGGUUA
rnacentral:rRNA from 1 species